rnacentral:lncRNA from 1 species
ACUCCCCUACCAACAAAAAAUGGUUUGACCACGAAUGCACUCAGGCAAAACUUAUACUCAGGGAAUGCUUUAAGGUCUUCCAGCAAAAUCCUAACCCUAUCACUAAAUUGGAGUUACAACUUAAAAAAAGAACUACAAAGAGUUAUUAAAAACCAAAAAAGAACCGCAGACUCUCUCAUCUGGCAGGCCCUCAUAAAAGCGUCAAUAGAAAAAGACAAUUCUAACUUCUGGAAAAUCAUCUCCAGUCAAACCAAAGCUCCUAAUGAGGGCACAAUAAUCCCUGCAAAUUCAUGGGAAGAGCACUAUAAAGUGCUGUUUAGGGAACAUUGUCCUUCUGCGCCGCUUAACAUCCCCUUAGAUAAUGAUACACCAUGGCCCCCAACAUCUGAAACUGAAAUCGCUUCGCUAAUUCUACAAAUGAAAUCUGGCAAAGCCCCAGGAAGUGAUUUCAUUGUCGCUGAACUUUUGAAAGCGCAAAUAAACUGGUGGGCCCCGGUCCUUGCAAAUCUAUUUUCAUAUAUAGACAAGACAACUGAAAUCCCUAAAGAUUGGGGACUAGCUAUAAUUGUUCCCAUAUUUAAAAAGGGCAACCCCUCUGAUCCAUCUAAUUAUAGACCAAUUAGUCUCCUGAAUGUGAUCUGUAAACUUUAUACAAAACAUCUAUGCCUAAAAUUAUGGGAAUGGUUAGAUCAUAACAACUUGCUAGAAAUUGAACAAGCAGGGUUUACAUCCGGACGUUCCACCAUUGAUCACUGCUUAGUGUUAGAUUACUUUGUCUAUAAGUAUGCGAAAUAUUGGAAAAAGUCAUUAUAUGCGGCCUUUGUGGACCUAAAGGCAGCAUUUGAUUCUGUAUCUAGGAGCAGGCUCUGGGCCAAAUUGGCCAAUAUGGGUAUUAACAGAAGGUUAUUACUUCUGAUGAUUAAGCUUCAUGAGAACAAUACCCUCCAGAUAAGACUUGCACAGGACGGCAGACUCUCUAGAGAAAUCCCAGUCCAAAGAGGAGUUAGACAAGGAUGCCUAUUAGCCCCAUUCCUAUUUAACAUCUAUGUUAACUCCCUGGUCACAUGCUGCCGUGAAAUUGAAACCCACCCCCCUGUGUUCUCUAAUGGCAGAAAAGUACCAAUUUUAAUGUAUGCGGAUGACGCCGUUCUUCUCUCUCAAACCAAAGUGGGUCUGAAACGUGCCUUAGGAAAGUUUAGUGACCAAUGUAACACUGAACUGCUAACAAUUAACUUUGCCAAAACCAAAAUUGUACAUUUUAACCGCUCCUUCAGGAAGGAUAAUUGGAGCGUAAAGGGAAACGCCAUUGAACAGACUAAGACCUUCCAAUAUUUAGGCAUUACUUUCUCUUAUAAUGCCAAAUUCUCAGCACACUUGACCACAUCAGCUAUAUCAGCAGAAAGAAGUGCAAAUGCUAUCCUUAGAUUAUUCAGAAGGAAAGGAGCUGGCUUCCUCCCGAUGGCCCUAACAGUCUUUCAGGCAAAAUCUUUAGCCCAACUUCUAUAUGGCUCUCAAAUUAGCCCCUCUGCCAACCUUAAGACCCUUGAAACAGUACAAUCUAAAUUCUUAAGAUCAUUAUUUGCUACCCCUAAGUGUACACCUAAUGCAGUCUUAAGGCAAGAGGCAGGACUGCCCAGAGUGGAAUUAAAAGUCUGGGAACAAGCAAUAUCCCUCUGGCUGAAAAUCCAUUACAAUCCUAAGGGUCUAUUACCUUGCUUCCUGGCCGCAGUUCCCUAUCCUCCUUGGCUUAUGCAAAUAACUAACAAGAUCAAACAAAUUGGCCUAAACCCUGAAAAUAUUUUUAUUGGAACUCUGAACAAGGCAAAAGCUACUAUUACUCGGAGACUUUAUGAUAUCGAAUUACAACAAGAAGGCGCCCUACUCCCAGAGACGUAUAGAUGUUUAAAAGCUUGGCCUAAUUUUACAGCUGCCCCUUACUUAACCAACAUCACUAGCGAAGCCUAUAGAUGGGCUUUCUCUAGAGCCCGCUUUGAGACAAUGCCCUCAGCAGUGCUGUACGGCAAAUUCACGCGGGUUCCAAUGCAUGCGCGUCUCUGCCCUUGUAUGUCUAAUAAGGUAGAAUCUGUCACACACAUUCUUCUAUCUUGCGAAUUCUAUAGUGAAGAACGAGCUCAACUUAUUUUACCGCUUUUAUCAAAAUUUAUACCCCUUCAAUAUUAUUUGGAAUCCUCCCUGAAAUUCUUCGAAAAUACCUCCUGGAAGAUUCCUCAAGCUCAGUAUCAUAUGAGGUGGCUAAAUUUUGCACUUUAGUAAUUAAGAAACGUAAAUCUCUUCUGUCGAAUGGCACACUGCGAAGUUCCCUUGUGUAACCUUUUUUCUUUUCUGAAGUUGUUGCUGAUUUCUUGUUGUCUGAUCUUGGGAUGUUUAGUGUCACUGGCUUUGGCCGCAAUAAACUUGAACUUGAACUUG